AAUUCAGACUUUUUUUUUCUUCCUGCAUUUGUUUUGAAUGUGGGUUCUCAUAUGUUCAGGGAUAUUCCAUUUUAUGUCAGCAGUUUUUAAUCUCAUCACAGUUGAGUACAAGAGAAGUCUCCAUGCUGCAGCCACACUGCACCAUCUGAUAUCAUGAUCGCGGUGGAGUCUCGAAGAUCACAUUGUGGAACUACGGUGCAUGCACAACAAUAUCUGUACUCUACCAACUGAAUUACUG